rnacentral:rRNA from 1 species
AGAGUUUGAUCAUGGCUCAGGAUGAACGCUGGCGGUCUGCUUAACACAUGCAAGUCGAACGGAAGUAGCAAUACUUUAGUGGCGGACGGGUGAGUAACGCGUGAGAAUCUACCUUCAGGACGGAGACAACAGUUGGAAACGACUGCUAACCCCCGAUGUACCGCAAGGGCAAAUAUUUAUAGCCUGAAGAAGAGCUCGCGUCCGAUUAGCUAGUUGGGGGGGUAAAAGCCCACCAAGGCGACGAUCGGUAGCUGGUCUGAGAGGACGAUCAGCCACACUGGGACUGAGACACGGCCCAGACUCCUACGGGAGGCAGCAGUGGGGAAUUUUCCGCAAUGGGCGCAAGCCUGACGGAGCAAGACCGCGUGGGGGAGGAAGGCUCUUGGGUUGUAAACCCCUUUUCUCUGGGAAGAACAAAAUGACGGUACCAGAGAAUCAGCUCCGAUCCCGUC